AUGGAUAAUGUCCUAUACUACUUACUCUCCCGCUCAAUCACGGAGACGAGUUUUCCACGGUUUCCACCCCUCCCUCCAUACCGCAACAACACGAGUUUUUUCCACCUCUUCCAGAACGCGCUCUUCGCGCCACAAAGCCGCCCCAAGACGCGCGAGCAAUGAGCAUCGAGCUUAAACAUAUCACAAACGUCAAAAAUAAUAUAACGGGAUUAAUAUAUAUCGCGCACGUGCGAUAUGUUUGUCACAAGGUGCAAAAAAUAAUUAAAAAGGGAAUGCAACACGAGGACUUCCCAGGAGGUCACCCAUCCUAGUACUACUCUCGCCCAAGCACGCUUAACUUCGAAGUUCUGAUGUGAUCCGGUGCUUUAGUGCUGGUAUGAUCGCAUCCGACAUGUUUCCCCGUCUUCGUCCCUUAUGCUUGCCACUCCCAGGUGCGCUCCAAAGACGAUUCUACAUUCUCACUACCAUUACAACUGUUCCCUAACAAUGGAUAAUGUCCUAUACUACUUACUCUCCUGCUCAAUCGGAGAAGAGUUUUCCACGGUUUCCACCCCUCCCUCCAUACCGCAGCAACACGAGUUUUUUCCACCCCUUUCAGAACGCGCUCUUCGCGCCACAAAGCUGCCCCAAGACGCGCGAGCAAUGAGCAUCGUGUUGGAAAUAUGCCCUAGAGGCAAUAAUAAAAGCAUUAUUAUUAUAUUUCCUUGUUCAUGAUAAUUGUCUUUAUUCAUGCUAUAAUUGUGUUAUCCGGAAAUCGUAAUACAUGUGUGAAUAACAGACACCAACAUGUCCCUAGUGAGCCUCUAGUUGACUAGCUCGUUGAUCAACAGAUAGUCAUGGUUUCCUGACUAUGGACACUGGAUGUCAUUGAUAACGAGAUCACAUCAUUGGGAGAAUGAUGUGAUGGACAAGACCCAAUCCUAAACAUAGCACAAGAUCGUAUAGUUCGUUUGCUAGAGUUUUCCAAUGUCAAAGUAUCUUUUCCUUAGACCAUGAGAUCGUGUAACUCCCGGAUACCGUAGGAGUGCUUUGGGUAUGCCAAACGUCACAACGUAACUGGGUGACUAUAAAGGUAGACUACGGGUAUCUCCAAAAGUGUCUGUUGGGUGACAUGGAUCAAGACUGGGAUUUGUCACUCCGUAUGACGGAGAGGUAUCACUGGGCCCACUCGGUAAUGCAUCAUCAUAAUGAGCUCAGAGUGACCAAGUGUCUGGUCACGGGAUCAUGCAUUACGGUACGAGUAAAGUGACUUGCUGGUAACGAGAUUGAACGAGGUAUUGGGAUACCGACGAUCGAAUCUCGGGCAAGUAACAUAUCGAUAGACAAAGGGAAUAGCGUACGGGAUUGAUUAAAUCCUCGACAUCGUGGUUCAUCCGAUGAGAUCAUCGUGGAGCAUGUGGGAGCCAACAUGGGUAUCCAGAUCCCGCUGUUGGUUAUUGACCGGAGAGUCGUCUCGGUCAUGUCUGCUUGUCUCCCGAACCCGUAGGGUCUACACACUUAAGGUUCGGUGAUGCUGGGGUUAUGAAGAUAUGUAUAUGCGAAUGUUGUUCGGAGUCCCGGAUGAGAUCCCGGACGUCACGAGGAGUUCCGGAAUGGUCCGGAGGUAAAGAAUUAUAUAUAGGAAGUGCUAUUUCGGGCAUCGGGACAAGUUUCGGGGUUAUCGGUAUUGUACCGGGACCACCGGAAGGGUCCCGGGGGUCCACCGGGUGGGGCCACCUGUCCCGGGGGGGCCACAUGGGCUGUAGGGGGUGCGCCUUGGCCUAGAUGGGCCAAGGGCACCAGCCCCUAUAGGCCCAUGCGCCUAGGGUUUCCACCAUGGAAGAGUCCAUGUGGUGGAAGGCACCCCUAGGUGCCUUGGGGGGGAGGGAAACCUCCCCUUGGCCGCCGCCCCCCCUAGUAGAUGCCAUCUACUAGGGCCGGCGCCCCCCUGGCACCCCUAUAUAUAGUGGGGGAGAGGAGGGAUUUCAGACCAGCCCCUGGCGCCUCCAUCUCCCCCCGUUACGUCUCUCCCUCGUAGUCUCGGCGAAGCCCUGCUGCUGUGACGCCCUGCAUCCACCACCACGCCGUCGUGCUGCUGGAUCUUCAUCAACCUCUCCUUCCCCCUUGCUGGAUCAAGAAGGAGGAGACGUCUCCCGUCCCGUACGUGUGUUGAACGCGGAGGUGCCGUCCGUUCGGCGCUGGUCAUCGGUGAUUUGGAUCACGUCGAGUACGACUACAUCAUCACCGUUCUUUUGAACGCUUCCGUGCACGAUCUACAAAGGUAUGUAGAUGCAUCUAAUCACUCGUUGCUAGAUGAACUCCUAGAUGAUCUUGGUGAAACGAGUAGGAAAAUUUUUGUUUUCUGCAACGUUCCCCAACAGUGGCAUCAUGAGCUAGGUCUAUGCGUAGUUCUUCUUGCGCGAGUAGAACACAAUUUGUUGUGGGCGUAGAUUUGUCAACUUUCUUGCCGUUACUAGUCCUUUCUUGCUUCAGCGGUAUUGUGGGAUGAAGCGGCCCGGACCAACCUUACACAUACGCUUACGUGAGACCGGUUCCACCGACUAACAUGCACUAGUUGCAUAAGGUGGCUGGCGGGUGUCUGUCUCUCCUACUUUAGUUGGAGCGGAAUCGAUGAACAGGGUCCUUAUGAAGGGUAAAUAGAAGUUGACAAAUCACGUUGUGGCUUUAACGUAGGUAAGAAAACGUUCUUGCUAGAACCCUAAUUCAGCCACGUAAAACUUGCAACAACAAUUAGAGGACGUCUAACUUGUUUUUGCAGCAAGUGGUUUGUGAUAUGAUAUGGCCAAAGUUGUGAUGAAUGAUGAAUGAUCUAUAUGUGAUGUAUGAGAUGUUCAUGCUAUUGUAAUAGGAAUCACGACUUGCAUGUCGAUGAGUAUGACAACCGGCAGGAGCCAUAGGAGUUGUCUUUAUUCUUUUAUAUGACUUGCGUGUCAUCAAGAAACGCCAUGUAAAUUACUUUACUUUAUUGCUAAACGCGUUAGCCAUAGUAGUAGAAGUAAUAGUUGGCGAGCAACUUCAUGGAGACACGAUGAUGGAGAUCAUGAUGAUGGAGAUCAUGGUGUCAAGCCGGUGACAAGAUGAUCAUGGAGCCCCAAGAUGGAGAUCAAAGGAGCUAUGUGAUAUUGGCCAUAUCAUGUCACGUUUAUUAUUUGAUUGCAUGUGAUGUUUAUCAUGUUUUGCAUCUUGUUUAUUUAGAACGACGGUAGUAAAUAAGGUGAUCCCUCAUACUAAUUUCAAGAAGUGUUCCCCCUAACUGUGCACCGUUGUGACAGUUCGCUGUUUCAAAACACCACAUGAUGAUCGGGUGUUUUAUUCAGACGUUCACAUACAACGGGUGUAAGACAGAUUUACACAUGCAAACACUUAGGUUGACUUGACGAGCCUAGCAUGUACAGACAUGGCCUCGGAACACAGAAGACCGAAAGGUCGAGCAUGAGUCGUAUAGAAGAUAUGAUCAACAUGAAGAUGUUCACCGAUGUUGACUAGUCCGUCUCACAUGAUGAUCGGACACGGUCUAGUUUAACUCGGAUCAUGUAAUACUUAGAUGACUAGAGGGAUGUCUAAUCUAAGUGGGAGUUCAUUAAUAAUUUGAUUAGUUGAACUUAAUUAUCAUGAACUUAGUCUAAAUAUUUUACAAUAUGUCUUGUAGAUUAAAUGGCCAACGUAGUCCUCAACUUCAACGCGUUCCUAGAGAAAACCAAGCUGAAAGACGAUGGCAGCAACUAUACGGACUGGGUCCGGAACCUGAGGAUCAUCCUCAUAGCUGCCAAGAAAGAUUAUGUCCUACAAGCACCGCUUGGUGACGCACCCGUUCUCCCUGUAGAACAAGAUGUUAUGAACGCUUGGCAGGCACAUUCCGAUGACUACUCCCUCGUUCAGUGCGGCAUGCUUUACAGCCUAGAGCCGGGGCUCCAAAAGCGUUUUGAGAGACAUGGAGCAUAUGAGAUGUUCGAAGAGCUGAAAAUGGUUUUCCAAGCUCAUGCCCGGGUCGAGAGAUAUGAAGUCUCCGACAAAUUCUUCAGCUGUAAGAUGGAGGAAAACAGUUCUGUCAGUGAGCACAUACUCACUAUGUCUGGGUUGCAUAACCGCUUGACUCAGCUGGGAGUUAAUCUCCCGGAUGAUGCGGUCAUUGACAGAAUCCUCCAGUCGCUUCCACCAAGCUACAAGAGCUUUGUGAUGAACUUCAAUAUGCAGGGGAUGGAAAAGACCAUUCCUGAAGUAUUUGCUAUGCUGAAAUCAGCAGAGGUAGAAGUCAGGAAGGAACAUCAAGUGUUGAUGGUCAAUAAAACCACUAAGUUCAAGAAAGGCAAGGGUAAAAAGAACUUCAAGAAGGACGGCAAGGAGGUUGCCGCGCCCGGCAAGCAAGCUGCCGGGAAGAAGCCAAAGAAUGGACCCAAGCCCGAGACUGAGUGCUUUUAUUGCAAGGGAAGCGGUCACUGGAAGCGGAACUGCCCUAAGUACUUAGCGGAUAAGAAGGCCGGCAAAACAAAAGGUAUAUGUGAUAUACAUGUAAUUGAUGUGUACCUUACUAGUGCCCGUAGUAGCUCCUGGGUAUUUGAUACCGGUGCAGUUGCUCACAUUUGUAACUCAAAGCAGGGGCUGCGGAAUAAGCGGAAACUGGCAAAGGACGAGGUGACGAUGCGCGUCGAGAAUGGUCCCAAGGUCAAUGUGGUCGCCGUCGGCACGCUACCUCUGCAUCUCCCUUCAGGAUUAGUUUUAAACCUUAAUAAUUGUUAUUUAGUGCCAGCUUUGAGCAUGAACAUUGUAUCGGGAUCUCGUUUAAUUCGAGAUGGCUACUCUUUUAAAUCUGAGAAUAAUGGUUGUUCCAUUUUUAUGAGAGAUAUGUUUUAUGGUCAUGCUCCUAUGGUGAAUGGUUUAUUCUUUAUGAAUCUCGAACGUGAUGCUACACAUGUUCAUAAUGUGAGUACCAAAAGAAGUAAGGUUGAUAAUGAUAGUCCCACGUACCUGUGGCACUGCCGCCUUGGUCACAUAGAGGUCAAACGCAUGAAGAAGCUCCAUGCUGAUGGACUUUUAGAGUCUCUUGAUUAUGAAUCAUUUGACACAUGCGAACCAUGCCUUAUGGGUAAAAUGACCAAGACUCCGUUCUCAGGAACAAUGGAGCGAGCAAACGACUUAUUGGAAAUCAUACAUACUGAUGUGUGCGGUCCAAUGAGUGUUGAGGCUCGCGGUGGCUAUUGUUAUGUUCUCACCCUCACUGAUGAUUUAAGUAGGUAUGGGUAUAUCUACUUAAUGAAACACAAGUCUGAAACCUUUGAAAAGUUCAAGGAAUUUCAGAGUGAGGUUGAAAAUCAACGUGACAGGAAAAUCAAGUUUCUACGAUCAGAUCGUGGAGGAGAAUACUUGAGUCACGAGUUUGGCACACACUUAAGAAAAUGUGGAAUAGUUUCACAACUCACGCCGCCUGGAACACCUCAGCGUAAUGGUGUGUCCGAACGUCGUAAUCGCACUCUAUUAGAUAUGGUGCGAUCUAUGAUGUCUCUUACCGAUUUACCGCUAUCCUUUUGGGGCUAUGCUUUAGAGACUGCUGCAUUCACUUUAAAUAGGGCACCGUCGAAAUCCGUUGAGACGACACCGUAUGAAUUGUGGUUUGGGAAGAAACCUAAGCUGUCGUUUCUAAAAGUUUGGGGAUGCGAUGCUUAUGUCAAGAAACUUCAACCUGAAAAGCUCGAACCCAAGUCGGAAAAAUGCGUCUUCAUAGGAUACCCAAAAGAAACUAUUGGGUACACCUUCUACCUCAGAUCCGAAGGCAAGAUCUUUGUUGCCAAGAAUGGGUCCUUUCUGGAGAAAGAGUUUCUCUCGAAAGAAGUAAGUGGGAGGAAAGUAGAGCUUGAUGAAGUAUUACCUCUUGAACCGGAAAAUGGCGCAACUCAAGAAAAUGUUCCUGAGGUGCCUGCACCGACUAGAGAGGAAGUUAAUGAUCAAGAUACUUCUGAUCAAGCCCCUACUGAAAUUCGAAGGUCCACAAGGACACGUUCCGCACCAGAGUGGUACGACAACCCUGUCUUGGAAAUCAUGCUGUUAGACAACGGUGAACCUUCGAACUAUGAAGAAGCGAUGGCGGGCCCGGAUUCCGACAAAUGGCUAGAAGCCAUGAAAUCCGAGAUAGGAUCCAUGUAUGAAAACAAAGUAUGGACUUUGACUGACUUGCCCGUUGAGCGGCGAGCCAUAGAAAAUAAAUGGAUCUUUAAGAGGAAGACAGACGCGGAUGGUAAUGUGACCAUCUAUAAAGCUCGGCUUGUCGCUAAGGGUUAUCGACAAGUUCAAGGGGUUGACUACGAUGAGACUUUCUCACCGGUAGCGAAGCUGAAGUCCGUUCGAAUCAUGUUAGCAAUUGCCGCAUUCUAUGAUUACGAAAUAUGGCAAAUGGACGUCAAAACGGCAUUCCUUAAUGGUUUCCUUAAGGAAGAAUUGUAUAUGAUGCAGCCGGAAGGUUUUGUCGAUCCUGAGAAUGCUGACAAAGUGUGCAAGCUCCAACGCUCGAUUUAUGGGCUGGUGCAAGCAUCUCGGAGUUGGAACAUUCGCUUUGAUGAGAUGAUCAAAGCGUUUGGGUUUACACAGACUUAUGGAGAAGCCUGCGUUUACAAGAAAGUGAGUGGGAGCUCUGUAGCAUUUCUCAUAUUAUAUGUAGAUGACAUACUUUUGAUGGGAAAUGAUAUAGAACUCUUGGACAGCAUCAAGGCCUACUUGAAUAAAAGUUUUUCAAUGAAGGACCUUGGAGAAGCUGCUUAUAUAUUAGGCAUCAAAAUCUAUAGAGAUAGAUCGAGACGCCUCAUAGGUCUUUCACAAAGCACAUACCUUGAUAAAAUAUUGAAGAAGUUCAAUAUGGAUCAAUCCAAGAAGGGGUUCUUGCCUGUGUUACAAGGUAUGAAAUUGAGCUCAGCUCAAUGUCCGACCACGGCAGAAGAUAUAGAAGAGAUGAGCGUCAUCCCCUAUGCCUCAGCCAUAGGUUCUAUUAUGUAUGCCAUGCUGUGUACCAGACCUGAUGUUAACCUUGCCAUCAGUUUGGUAGGAAGGUACCAAAGUAAUCCCGGCAAGGAACACUGGACAGCGGUCAAGAAUAUCCUGAAGUACCUGAAAAGGACUAAGGAAAUGUUUCUUGUUUAUGGAGGUGACGAAGAGCUCGUCGUAAAGGGUUACGUCGACGCUAGCUUCGACACAGAUCUGGAUGACUCUAAGUCACAAACCGGAUACGUGUAUAUUUUGAAUGGUGGGGCAGUAAGCUGGUGCAGUUGCAAGCAAAGCGUCGUGGCGGGAUCUACAUGUGAAGCGGAGUACAUGGCAGCCUCGGAGGCAGCACAUGAAGCAAUAUGGGUGAAGGAGUUCAUCACCGACCUAGGAGUCAUACCCAAUGCGUCGGGGCCGAUCAAGCUCUUCUGUGACAACACUGGAGCUAUUGCACUUGCCAAGGAGCCCAGGUUUCACAAGAAGACAAGGCACAUCAAGCGUCGCUUCAACUCCAUUCGUGAAAAUGUUCAAGAUGGAGACAUAGAGAUUUGUAAAGUACAUACGGACCUGAAUAUACCAGAUCCGUUGACUAAACCUCUCCCUAGAGCAAAACAUGAUCAACACCAGAAUUCCAUGGGUGUUCGAUUCAUCACAAUGUAACUAGAUUAUUGACUCUAGUGCAAGUGGGAGACUGUUGGAAAUAUGCCCUAGAGGCAAUAAUAAAAGCAUUAUUAUUAUAUUUCCUUGUUCAUGAUAAUUGUCUUUAUUCAUGCUAUAAUUGUGUUAUCCGGAAAUCGUAAUACAUGUGUGAAUAACAGACACCAACAUGUCCCUAGUGAGCCUCUAGUUGACUAGCUCGUUGAUCAACAGAUAGUCAUGGUUUCCUGACUAUGGACACUGGAUGUCAUUGAUAACGAGAUCACAUCAUUGGGAGAAUGAUGUGAUGGACAAGACCCAAUCCUAAACAUAGCACAAGAUCGUAUAGUCCGUUUGCUAGAGUUUUCCAAUGUCAAAGUAUCUUUUCCUUAGACCAUGAGAUCGUGUAACUCCCGGAUACCGUAGCAGUGCUUUGGGUAUGCCAAACGUCACAACAUAACUGGGUGACUAUAAAGGUAGACUAUGGGUAUCUCCGAAACUGUCUGUUGGGUGACAUGGAUCAAGACUGGGAUUUGUCACUCCGUAUGACGGAGAGGUAUCACUGGGCCCACUCGGUAAUGCAUCAUCAUAAUGAGCUCAGAGUGACCAAGUGUCUGGUCACGGGAUCAUGCAUUACGGUACGAGUAAAGUGACUUGCCAGUAACGAGAUUGAACGAGGUAUUGGGACACCGACGAUCGAAUCUCGGGCAAGUAACAUAUCGAUAGACAAAGGGAAUAAUGUACGGGAUUGAUUAAAUCCUCGACAUCGUGGUUCAUCCGAUGAAGAUCAUCGUGGAGCAUGUGGGAGCCAACAUGGGUAUCCAGAUCCCGCUGUUGGUUAUUGACCGGAGAGUCGUCUCGGUCAUGUCUGCUUGUCUCCCGAACCCGUAGGGUCUACACACUUAAGGUUCGGUGACGCUAGGGUUAUGAAGAUAUGUAUAUGCAGAAACCCGAAUGUUGUUCGGAGUCCCGGAUGAGAUCCCGGACGUCACGAGGAGUUCCGGAAUGGUCCGUAGGUAAAGAAUUAUAUAUAGGAAGUGCUAUUUCGGGCAUCGGGACAAGUUUCGGGGUUAUCGGUAUUGUACGGGGACCACCGGAAGGGUCCCGGGGGUCCACCGGGUGGGGCCACCUGUCCCGGGGGGCCACAUGGGCUGUAGGGGGUGCGCCUUGGCCUAGAUGGGCCAAGGGAACCAGCCCCUAUAGGCCCAUGCGCCUAGGGUUUCCACCAUGGAAGAGUCCAUGUGGUGGAAGGCACCCCUAGGUGCCUUGGGGGGGAGGGAAACCUCCCCUUGGCCGCCGCCCCCGUUAGUAGAUCUCAUCUACUAGGGCCGGCGCCCCCCUGGCACCCCUAUAUAUAGUGGGGGGGAGAGGAGGGAUUUCACACCAGCCCCUGGCGCCUCCAUCUCCCCCCGUUACGUCUCUCCCUCGUAGUCUCGGCGAAGCCCUGCUGCUGUGACGCCCUGCAUCCACCACCACGCCGUCGUGCUGCUGGAUCUUCAUCAACCUCUCCUUCCCCCUUGCUGGAUCAAGAAGGAGGAGACGUCUCCCGUCCCGUACGUGUGUUGAACGCGGAGGUGCCGUCUGUUCGGCGCUGGUCAUCGGUGAUUUGAAUCACGUCGAGUACGACUACAUCAUCACCGUUCUUUUGAACGCUUCCGUGCGCGAUCUACAAAGGUAUGUAGAUGCAUCUAAUCACUCGUUGCUAGAUGAACUCCUAGAUGAUCUUGGUGAAACGAGCAGGAAAGUUUUUGUUUUCUGCAACGUUCCCCAACACAUCGAGCUUAAACAUAUCGCAAACGUAAAAACAAUAUAACGGGAUUAAUAUAUAUUGCGCACGUGCGAUAUGUUUGUCACAAGGCGCAAAAAAUAAUUAAAAAGGGGAUGCAACACGAGGACUUCCCAAGAGGUCACCCAUCCUAGUACUACUCUCGCCCAAGCACGCUUCACUUCGGAGUUCUGAUGGGAUCCGGUGCUUUAGUGCUGGUAUGAUCGCAUCCGACAUAUUUCCCCUUCUUCGUCCCUUAUGCUUGCCACUCCCAUGUCCUCCCCAAAGACGAUUCUACAUUCUCACUACCAUUACAAUCGUUCCCUAACAAUGGAUAAUGUCCUAUACUACUUACUCUCCCGCUCAAUCACGGAGACGAGUUUUCCACGGUUUCCACCCCUCCCUCCAUACCGCAGCAACACGAGUUUUUUCCACCCCUUGCAGAACGCGCUCUUCGCGCCACAAAGCCGCCCCAAGACGCGCGAGCAAUGAGCAUCGAGCUUAAACAUAUCGCAAACGUCAAAAAUAAUAUAACGGGAUUAAUAUAUAUCGCGCAUGUGCGAUAUGUUUGUCACAAGGCGUAAAAAUAAUUAAAAAGGGAAUGCAACACGAGGACUUCCCAGGAGGUCACCCAUCCUGGUACUACUCUCGCCCAAGCACGCUUAACUUCGGAGUUCUGGUGGGAUCCGUUGCUUUACUGCUGGUAUGAUUGCAUCCGAGAUGUUUCCCCGUCUUCGUCCCUUAUGCUUGCCACUCCCAGGUCCGCUCCAAAGACGAUUAUGCAUUCUCACUACCAUUACAACCGUUCCCUAACAAUGGAUAAUGUCCUAUACUACUUACUCUCCCGCUCAAUCACGGAGACGAGUUUUCCACGGUUUCCACCCCUCCCUCCAUACCGCAGCAACACGAGUUUUUUCCACCUCUUUCAGAAUGCGCUCUUCGCGCCACAAAGCCGCCCCAAGACGCGCGAGCAAUGAGCAUCGAGCUUAAACAUAUCGCAAACGUCAAAAAUAAUAUAACGAGAUUAAUAUAUAUCGCGCACGUGCGAUAUGUUUGUCACAAGGCGCAAAAAAUAAUUAAAAAGGGAAUGCAACACGAGGACUUCCUAGGAGGUCACCCAUCCUAGUACUACUCUCGCCCAAGCACGCUUAACUUCAAAGUUCUGAUGGGAUCCGGUGCUUUAGUGCUGGUAUGAUCCCAUCCGACAUGUUUCCCCGUCUUCGUCCCUUAUGCUUGCCACUCCCAGGUCCGCUCCAAGGAUGAUUCUACAUUCUCACUACCAUUACAACCGUUCCCUAACAAUGGAUAAUAUCCUAUACUACUUACUCUCCCGCUCAAUCACGGAGACGAGUUUUCCACGGUUUCCACCCCUCCCUCCAUACCGCAGCAACACAAAUUUUUUCCACCCCUUUCAGAACGCGCUCUUCGCGCCACAAAGCCGCCCCAAGACGCGCGGGCAAUGAGCAUCGAGCUUAAACAUAUCGCAAACGUCAAAAACAAUAUAACGGGAUUAAUAUAUAUCGCGCACGUGUGAUAUGUUUGUCACAAGGCGCAAAAAAUAAUUAAAAAGGGAAUGCAACACGAGGACUUCCCAAGAGGUCACCCAUCCUAGUACUACUCUCUCCCAAGCACGCUUAACUACGGAGUUUUGAUGGGAUCCGGUGCUUUAGUGCUGGUAUGAUCACAUCUGACAUGUUUCCCCGUUUUCGUCCCUUAUGCUUGCCACUCCCAGGUCCGCUCCAAAGACGAUUCUACAUUCUCACUACCAUUACAACCGUUCCCUAACAAUGGAUAAUGUCCUAUACUACUUACUCUCGCGCUCAAUCACGGAGACGGGUUUUCCACGGUUUCCACCCCUACCUCCAUACCGCAGCAACACGAGUUUUUUCCACCCCUUUCAGAACACGCUCUUCGCGCCACAAAGCCGCCUCAAGACGCGCGAGAAAUGAGCAUCGAGCUUAAACAUAUCGCAAACGUCAAAAAUAAUAUAACGGGAUUAAUAUAUAUCGCGCAUGUGCGAUAUGUUUGUCACAAGGCGCAAAAAAUUAUUAAAAAGGGAAUGCAACACGAGGACUUCCCAGGAGGUCACCCAUGCUAGUACUACUCUCGCCCAAGCACGCUUAACUUCGGAGUUCUGAUGGGAUCCAGUGCUUUAGUGCUGGUAUGAUCGCAUCCGACAUGUUUCCCCGUCUUCGUCCCUUAUGCUUGCCAUUCCCAGGUCCGCUCCAAAGACGAUUCUACAUUCUCACUACCAUUACAACCGUUACCUAACAAUGGAUAAUGUCUUAUACUACUUACUCUCCCGCUCAAUCACGGAGACGAGUUUUCCACGGUUUCCACCCCUCCCUCCAUACCGCAGCAACACGAGUUUUUUCCACCCCUUUCAGAACGCACUCUUCGCGCCACAAAGCCACCCAAGACGCGCGAGCAAUGAGCAUCGAGCUUAAACAUAUCGCAAACGUCAAAAAUAAUAUAACGGGAUUAAUAUAUAUCGCGCACGUGCGAUAUGUUUGUCACAAGGCGCAAAAAAUAAUUAAAAAGGGAAUGCAAGACGAGGACUUCCCAGGAGGUCACCCAUCCUAGUAGUACUCUCGCCCAAGCACGCUUAGCUUCGGAGUUCUGAUGGGAUCCGGUGCUUUAGUGCUGGUAUGAUCGCAUCCGACAUGUUUCCCCGUCUUCGUCCCUUAUACUUGCCACUCCUAGGUCCGCUCCAAAGACGAUUCUACAUUCUCACUACCAUUACAACCGUUCCCUAACAAUGGAUAAUGUCCUAUACUACUUACUCUCCCGCUCAAUCACGGAGACGAGUUUUCCACGGUUUCCACCCCUCCCUCCAUAACGCAGCAACACGAGUUUUUUCACCCCUUUCAGAACGCGCUCUUCGUGCCACAAAGCCGCCCCAAGACGCGCGAGCAAUGAGCAUCGAGCUUAAACAUAUCGCAAACGUCAAAAAUAAUAUAACGGGAUUAAUAUAUAUCGCACACGUGCGAUAUGUUUGUCACAAGGCGCAAAAAAGAAUUAAAAAGGGAAUGCAACAUGAGGACUUCCCAGGAGGUCACCCAUGCUAGUACUACUCUCGCCCAAGCACGCUUAACUUCGGAGUUCUGAUGGGAUCCGGUGCUUUAGUGCUGGUAUGAUCGCAUCCGACAUGUUUCCCCGUCUUCGUCCCUUAUGCUUGCCAUUCCCAGGUCCGCUCCAAAGACGAUUCUACAUUCUCACUACCAUUACAACCGUUACCUAACAAUGGAUAAUGUCCUAUACUACUUACUCUCCCGCUCAAUCACGGAGACGAUUUUUCCACGGUUUCCACCCCUCCCUCCAUACCGCAGCAACACGAGUUUUUUCCACCCCUUUCAGAACGCACUCUUCGCGCCACAAAGCCACCCAAGACGCGCGAGCAAUGAGCAUCGAGCUUAAACAUAUCGCAAACAUCAAAAAUAAUAUAACGGGAUUAAUAUAUAUCGCGCACGUGCGAUAUGUUUGUCCCAAGGCGCAAAAAAUAAUUAAAAAGGGAAUGCAACACGAGGACUUCCCAGGAGGUCACCCAUCCUAGUACUACUCUCGCCCAAGCACGCUUAGCUUCGGAGUUCUGAUGGGAUCCGGUGCUUUAGUGCUGGUAUGAUCGCAUCCGACAUGUUUCCCCAUCUUCGUCCCUUAUGCUUGCCACUCCCAGGUCCGCUCCAAAGACGAUUCUACAUUCUCACUACCAUUACAACCCUUCCCUAACAAUGGAUAAUGUCCUAUACUACUUACUCUCCCGCUCAAUCACGGAGACGAGUUUUCCACNNNNNNNNNNNNNNNNNNNNNNNNNNNNNNNNNNNNNNNNNNNNNNNNNNNNNNNNNNNNNNNNNNNNNNNNNNNNNNNNNNNNNNNNNNNNNNNNNNNNNNNNNNNNNNNNNNNNNNNNNNNNNNNNNNNNNNNNNNNNNNNNNNNNNNNNNNNNNNNNNNNNNNNNNNNNNNNNNNNNNNNNNNNNNNNNNNNNNNNNNNNNNNNNNNNNNNNNNNNNNNNNNNNNNNNNNNNNNNNNNNNNNNNNNNNNNNNNNNNNNNNNNNNNNNNNNNNNNNNNNNNNNNNNNNNNNNNCGGUUUCCACCCCUAAAAGGGAAUGCAACACGAGGACUUCCCAGGAGGUCACCCAUCCUAGUACUACUCUCGCCCAAGCACGCUUAACUUUGGAGUUCUGAUGGGAUCCGAUGCUUUAGAGCUGGUAUGAUCGCAUCCGACAUGUUUCCCCGUCUUCGUCCCUUAUGCUUGUUACUCCCAGGUCCGCUCCAAAGACGAUUCUACAUUCUCACUACCAUUACAACCGUUCCCUAACAAUGGAUAAUGUCCUAUACUACUUACUCUCCCGCUCAAUCACGGAGACGAGUUUUCCACGGUUUCCACCCCUCCCUCCAUACCGCAGCAACACGAGUUUUUUCCACCCCUUUUAGAACGCGCUCUUUGCGCCACAAAGCCGCCAUAGGACGCGCGAGCAAUGAGCAUCGAGCUUAAACAUAUCGCAAACGUCAAAAAUAAUAUAACGGGAUUAAUAUAUAUUACGCAUGUGCGAUAUGUUUGUCACAAGGCGCAAAAAAUAAUUAAAAAGGGAAUGCAACAUGGGGAUUUCCCAGGAGGUCACCCAUCCUAGUACUGCUCUCGCCCAAGCACUCUUAACUUUGGAGUUCUGAUGGGAUCCGGUGCUUUAGUGCUGGUAUGAUCGCAUCCGACAUGUUUCCCCGUCUUCGUGCCGUAUGCUUGCCACUCUCAGGUCCGCUCCAAAGACGAUUCUACAUUCUCACUACCAUUACAACCGUUCCCUAACAAUGGACAAUGUCCUAUACUACUUACUCUCCCGCUCAAUCACGGAGAUGAGUUUUCCACGGUUUCCACCCCUCCCUCCAUACCGCAGCAACACGAGUUUUUUCCACCCCUUUCAGAACGCGCUCUUCGCGCCACAAAGCCGCCCCAAGACGCGUGAGCAAUGAGCAUCGAGCUUAAACAUAUCGCAAACGUCAAAAAUAAUAUAACGGGAUUAAUAUAUAUCGCGCACGCGCGAUAUGUUUGUCACAAGGCGCAACAAAUAAUUAAAAAGGAAAUGCAACACGAGGACUUCCCAAGAGGUCACCCAUCCUAGUACUACUCUCGCCCAAGCACGCUUAACUUCGGAGUUUUGAUGGGAUCCAGUGCUUUAGUGCUUGUAUGAUCGCAUCCGACAUGUUUCCCCGUCUUCGUCCCUUAUGCUUGCCAUUCCCAGGUCCGCUCCAAAGACGAUUCUACAUUCUCACUACCAUUACAACCGUUACCUAACAAUGGAUAAUGUCCUAUACUACUUACUCUCCCGCUCAAUCACGGAGACGAGUUUUCCACGGUUUCCACCCCUCCCUCCAUACUGCAGCAACACGAGUUUUUCCACCCCUUUCAGAACGCGCUCUUCGCGCCACAAAGCCACCCCAAGACGCGCGGGCAAUGAGCAUUGAGCUUAAACAUAUCGCAAACGUCAAAAAUAAUAUAACGGGAUUAAUAUAUAUCGCGCACGUGAGAUAUGUUUGUCACAAGGCGCAAAAAAUAAUUAAAAAGGGAAUGCAACACGAGGACUUCCCAGGAGGUCACCCAUCCUAGUACUACUCUCGCCCAAGCACGCUUAGCUUCGGAGUUCUGAUGGGAUCCGGUGCUUUAGUGCUGGUAUGAUCGCAUCCGACAUGUUUCCCCAUCUUCGUCCCUUAUGCUUGCCACUCCCAGGUCCGCUCCAAUAUGAUUCUACAUUCUCACUACCAUUACAACCGUUCCCUAACAAUGGAUAAUGUCCUAUACUACUUACUCUCCCGCUCAAUCACGGAGACGAGUUUUCCACGGUUUCCACCCCUCCCUCCAUACCGCAGCAACACGAGUUUUUUCCACCUCUUUCAAAACGCGCUCUUCGUGCCACAAAGCCGCCCCAAGACGAGCGAGCAAUGAGCAUCGAGCUUAAACAUAUCGCAAAUGUCAAAAAUAAUAUAACGGGAUUAAUAUAUAUCGCGCACGUGCGAUAUGUUUGUCACAAGGCGCAAAAAAUAAUUAAAAAGGGAAUGCAACAUGAGGACUUCCUAGGAGGUCACCCAUGCUAGUACUACUCUCGCCCAAGCACGCUUAACUUCGGAGUUCUGAUGGGAUCCGGUGCUUUAGUGCUGGUAUGAUCACAUCCGACAUGUUUCCCCGUCUUUGUCCCUUAUGCUUGCAACUCCCAGGUCCGCUCCAAAGACGAUUCUACAUUCUCACUACCAUUACAACUGUUCCCUAACAAUGGAUAAUGUCCUAUACUACUUACUCUCACGCUCAAUCACAGAGACGGGUUUUCCAUGGUUUCCACCCCUCCCUCCAUACCGCAGCAACACGAGUUUUUUCCACUCCUUUCAGAACGCGCUCUUCGCGCCACAAAGCCGCCCCAAGACGCGCGAGCAAUGAGCAUCGAGCUUAAACAUGUCGCAAACGUCAAAAAUAAUAUAACGGGAUUAAUAUAUAUCGCGCAUGUGCGAUAUGUUUGUCACAAGGCGCAAAAAAUAAUUAAAAAGGGAAUGCAACACGAGGACUUCCCAGG
rnacentral:lncRNA from 1 species